rnacentral:rRNA from 2 species
UUAUACAGCGAAACUGCGAAUGGCUCAUUAUAUAAGUUAUCGUUUAUUUGAUAGUACCUUACUACUUGGAUAACCGUGGUAAUUCUAGAGCUAAUACAUGCUAAAAAUCCCGACUUACGAAGGGAUGUAUUUAUUAGAUUAAAAACCAAUGCCCUUCGGGGCUCACUGGUGAUUCAUAAUAACUUCUCGAAUCGCAUGGCCUUGCGCCGGCGAUGGUUCAUUCAAAUUUCUUCCCUAUCAACUUUCGAUGCUAGAGUAGUGUUCUAGCAUGGUUACAACGGGUAACGGAGGGUUAGGGCUCGACCCCGGAGAAGGAGCCUGAGAAACGGCUACUACAUCCAAGGAAGGCAGCAGGCGCGCAAAUUACCCAAUCCCGACACGGGGAGGUAGUGACGAUAAAUACUGAUACAGGGCUCUUUUGGGUCUUGUAAUUGGAAUGAGUACAAUUUAAAUCCCUUAACGAGGAACAAUUGGAGGGCAAGUCUGGUGCCAGCAGCCGCGGUAAUUCCAGCUCCAAUAGCGUAUAUUAAAGUUGUUGUGGUUAAAAAGCUCGUAGUAGAACCUUGGGCCUGGCUGGCCGGUCCGCCUCACCGCGUGCACUGGUCCGGCCGGGCCUUUCCCCCUGUGGAACCUCAUGCCCUUCACUGGGUGUGUGGGAAAACAGGACUUUUACUUUGAAAAAAUUAGAGUGCUCCAGGCAGGCCUAUGCUCGAAUACAUUAGCAUGGAAUAAUAGAAUAGGACGUGUGGUUCUAUUUUGUUGGUUUCUAGGACCGCCGUAAUGAUUAAUAGGGACAGUCGGGGGCAUCAGUAUUCAAUUGUCAGAGGUGAAAUUCUUGGAUUUAUUGAAGACUAACUACUGCGAAAGCAUUUGCCAAGGAUGUUUUCAUUUAUCAGGAACGAAAGUUAGGGGAUCGAAGACGAUCAGAUACCGUCGUAGUCUUAACCAUAAACUAUGCCGACUAGGGAUCGGACGAUGUUAUUUUUUGACUCGUUCGGCACCUUACGAGAAAUCAAAGUGCUUGG